UGAAGCCAGUGGGACUUAUCCUGAUUAAGUCUCUUACUGAACUAGGGUGAAAGUGAGAGACGGAUAAUCCUGAGCAACCUUCAAGUCUGGCAAGCAGGCACCGAGACUGGUUCAGCCAGUGAAAUAUGAAUAACAGCUCCCCAGCUAGUUAUGUCUAUAAGCACAAUCUCAAAUGGUGCCAAUAUCUUUAUUUAGCAGAUGAAUCAUACUGGAGAAAUGCACUCUGCUAAAGCAGGUAGCUAUGUGUAAUCUAAAAUAGCAAAAACACAAGUUUAUUCCAUUCAAUACCUCUGCUUUAUGCUUUCUUCUCUUAAGCUCUGAAGUUUGUGAGUACUCUGUUUUAUGUUGGUUUUACAUCGCAAAGGGACCUGCUGCUGGCCAGAGCCGAGCCUGUGAGUGAUGCUGGUUGCGCCUCUGUCAGAUCAUAGUUAAGAAAGGCCUGUGUCACAGCAGCUGGGAGAGCAAGGAGUGAGAACCAGCCCUGCAGCCCUCAAGGUCAGUGCAGGAGGGCAGGAGGUGCUCCAGGCACACAGCAGCAGUUCCCUUGCGGCCUGUGGAGAGGCCCCUGGUGGAGCAGGCUGUCCCCCUGCAGCCCAUGGGUCCCACACGGAGCAGAUCUCCACGCUGCAGCCCGUGGAGGAGCCCCCGGUGGAGCAGGUGGAUGUGGCCUGGAGGAGGCUGCGGCCCAUGGAGAGCCCCCGCAGGAGCAGGCCCCGGGCCGGAGCUGCAGCCCGUGGAGAGGAGCCCACGCAGGAGCAGGGGGUCUGGGGGGAGCUGCCGCCCGUGGGGGACCCGUGCUGGAGCAGUUUGCUCCUGGGGGAUGGACCCCGUGGCACGGAGCCGUGUGGGAGCAGUUCUUGAAGAGCUGCUGCCUGUGGGAAGCCCCUGCAGGAUCAGUUUGGGAAGUGGUUGUUGGUUGUUUUUGUUUGUUUGUUCUUUCCUUGGCGGGGUGCAUCUCCUAGCAGCCGGUGGUUACGGAUCCAUGCAAUGUUUGGGCAUGCUAUGUUCUGGCGGGGGAAGCCCUGCUUGUGAAGUGGCACGGAAAGUCAGCUGCAGGGUUUUGGCCUUGCCAGGAGCUUUCACUGACUGCAGGCACUUACUUACUUAUUCUGUAUGCCGGAUUCAGCUGCCUGCAUUGCUUCAGAGCUGGGGAAAAUAUUCUGCAGACUUUAUUGUAUACAGGAAAUGCAGCGAAUAGUGCUCCCUGCUUCAGUUGCCAUAGCAGUAACAGUGCAGUGCCUCUUUAAGGUGUGCUGACUCCUGACAACAUUCUUAAGUGCUGAGCCACCAAAAUGUCCUUCUGAGCAGGAUAAACGUGGAUUGGGAGAAUGAAUUAAGUGAUACAGUGCUUUAAAUGCCAGCUGAAGAACACACUGCAUAUACCGUUUGGCUUGUAGUGUUACUAUGACAAUCUGGGUGAAGUAUUUAUGUAUAGUAUAUGGAUUUUGUGUAUUAGCAUCAGACUACAAACUCCAUUUUGAAUGUGAGGUUUUUCUUCUGCUUUUGUUUUCAUACUGAGCUAAAUUCAGGGGAGGUGACAGAAGAAGAUCUUGUACUUGGCAUGGAACUAACAAUAGGGGACAGUCUAAUUUUUAUCUCUUCAGAUUAAGUAUGCUUUGGAGAGGAAAAAAGGCUAUUGCCCUUCACCAGUCCAGGCAGACAGCUUAUCACCUGGCACGAAGCUGUUAUCUCUAGUCAGGAGAAUUUCUGAUUAGCCAUUAUAGGUCAACUGGAAAGUUUUCCCAGCCGUAUUUUUGCCAAUAGCAAAAUGAAGAUGUGAUGAGUGUAUAUACAUUCUGCCUUUGGCUUAAUUUGAUGCUUGUGGGUAACAGUUGGACCCUGCUGAUGGACUUCAGUUUGUGUGAGUGCUUGGAGUUCAUUGCACAAGCACUGGAGAGCUGCUGCUGUGCGUACCGGUGCGUGUGAAGACAUGCUCUGACACUUCCCCUGUGGUGCUGAUGGUACUGUUCUGUGCUAACCUAUCAUACAGGUCUCUCUUUACUAAUUUUCAUUGCCGUGGCAACAGAUUACAAAGCACUGGAUCUUUCCUGUAUAAGGAAGUUUAGGUAGAGUGUCCUCUGCACCGAGUCAAGGGCUCUGACUUAAAGAACUAGAACUCAGAGCAUGAUCAAAAGUAGGUUGGGAACUGAAGCAAGGAAAUGCAUUUGUAUUUUUGCCUGUUUUCAGACCAAAAGUUG
rnacentral:lncRNA from 1 species